GCAGGAGGAUGUGGGUAAAGCCAGGUGGGUGGACAGGGGUGGCUAUGAGAAGAUGCCAUAGGCAGAAGCCAGCCCCUGAGGCCUUCUCACCUACCUAAUCAGCCCAGGCAGCUGUGGCUGCACUGAACCACCUCCGAGAUUGAGUGCUGAGCAGAGAUUAGAAUCAUGAGUAAGGGGCUCAGUCCUUGCCUUCAGGAGCUCAGGCUGAGAGGAUUCCAGUAACCACCAUCUAGAUGGGUGUUUAAAACUCUUGCUUUCGGCUGGGUGCAGUGGUUUAUGCGUUUAAUUCCAGCACUUUGGGAGGCUGAGGCGGGAGGAUCGCUUGAAGCCAGGAGUUGGAGGCUGCAAGGAGCUCUGAUCAUUGCACUGCACUCCACCUUGGGCGACAGAGCAAGCCCCUGUCUCAAAACACAAAAACGAAAACAAAGUGCUUUCCCCUAGCCCGGCAUACGUGGGUGAGUCUGCUGGAGGCAAUGGACGCUGCAGCCAGUCAGACCCCUGGUAGCAGAGUCUGGGCCCACCAACGGCCCAGCAGAGGCAAUGUGGAGUACAGGGUCUGCUGGUCCUCUGGUCACACCCACUCAUGCUGGUCUCCACAUGCUCUUUAUAUCCCCAGAGGUCGACAGUGUGGGGGAUUGGAGUGACCCAGCUGGAUGUGACCCCCAAGACAGAAUGGUGCUGGACUUGGGGGCUCAGGGGUAUGACCAGGCACCCCCCAGCCUGCCUACCAGCCUCCCAUCCCUGCGCCAUAGGCUGAAGCCCUCAGACCAAGAUGGGCCACCGCUGUACCCCUGGUCUCAGCCCCUGGCCUUGCCCCUGGCUCUGGCAGUCCCCCCAGCACUGCAGCCCCAGACUGAGCAGCAGCCCUUCUCACAAAGGCACCUGGGCCACUGUGGCCACAUGCGUCGCAGUGAGAGCACCUACUCUGUAAAUAGUACUGGCCGGCGGGCGCAUGGCACCCUGGGAUGGCCUCUACCUGGAUGGGGACAGAACCCAGGUGGGCGCACCCUGUGGCCUGCAGCCUCCCUGCCUCACGUUGCUAAGACUCAAAGGGAUGCAGGACAUAGUGCCAGCAAGAGCCCCUGCAUGUUGGUGGCCCUGCGGCCAACCAAUACGGACCAUGAGCGAGACAACUUCUUCCAGUCCCAUUACACCUACAAUUCACCCUCCGAGUACCGGGAGCCCAUGCCCACGCCUGUGCUCGAGUACUGCGAGGCCUCUGGAUAGUUCAUCCAUCAGGCAGUUGGCAUCACUGAGCUGUUCUGGAGAAGUCUGGAACCUAUGAACACUUUGAGGCUGUCACCGGGAAGCAGCUGCUCACAAGUGCCAAAUAUGGUCCAUUGUGCGCAAAGACAUGCGGAAGAAGGGCUGCGUCGAGGAGACUGUGGCGCAGCUGAGUGAAGACCUGCUGUCCCAGGCAGUGAUGACGGUGGACAACAGCCGGCCCACAUUGGCGAUCAACCUGACCGGAGCCCGCCAGUACUGGUUGGAGGGCAUGCUGCGGCAUGAAAUAGACAUUCGCUACCUGCGGGGCGUGAACGACGCGCGCCAGCCGUGGCACAACGCAUGGGGCCGGCUGCGGUACGGGCUGCGGCCGCAGAACCCCACAAGGGGCACCUGGCCAGGCUGCACAGCGUGCUGUUCCGCAAGCGGCUCUUCCUGCGCUGCGCUGUGCUGCUCCGCUACCCCACGCCGUCGUUCUGCUACACGCUCCGCCGCGCUCUGCGCACGUCCUUCCGCCAGCUCGGCCAGGACGUGGCGCGCUACGUGCAGGACGCCGACGUGCGUCGCGAGCACUGCGUGCGCGCCCAGCGCGGCCAGACAGAAUCCUCGCCGCCAGUUUGUUUCCGGCAGGGCCAGGUGUACCUGGACAGCAUCGUGAGCAUUCUGCGACAUCGCCAGACCAUCGAUUUCCCGCUGCUGACCUCACUGGGCAGGGGGUCCUGUGAGUAUGUGGACCACCUACGGCCCCAUGGGGUGCUGGAUAAUACCCGGGUGCCCCACUUCAUGCAGAACUUGGCACCUUACCGGCAGCAGCUGGAGCACAUCGUGGCCACCAACCGGCUCGAUGAGGUGGAGCUGGGUCGCCUGCUGCCCGACUGAUGUAGGUUGAGGGCUACAGAGGCCCUGGACUAGAAGCUCCAGAUAAGGCCCCCAGAACAUGAAGCUUUUUGCUCUGUGCUUCCACGGCCUAGGUGUUUCUUGGGGGUGUUGGGAGGGCAGGAGCAUUCCUUGAGAAGGAGUGGCAACAUCAAAGGGUUUGUGUCCCUUGCUAGCCUCCCUGGGGCCUGGGGACCUGCAGCAGCAUGUCUGGCAAACUGAGUCGCCCUCCUGCCUCCAGCUCUCUGUUGAGCAGAGGGAAGGCAUGGGGGCAGAAGGGAGCUGAGUAUUGAUGGAGAUGGGGUUGGUUUGGGAAUAGAAACUUGUUCUUGCAUGAGGUGGCUUUGGUUGUCCCGGUACUCCAGUCUGUCCCUUCCCUCACCUGGCCCCUUGGUGCUCCUUCAGCAUUCGCGCUGUCUACCUCUCACUGGGUCCUGGUGGGGGUCGGGAUCCCUUCUCCUGGGGUGAUUGAUGGCCUGAGCCUGGGGUCUUGGUAGUAGAGACCCAGCUGGUCUGGGGUGUGCUUUCCAACAUUUUGCCUCUCUCCCUGGUCAUGUAUUUAUUCCAUAUUUAUAUGGUCUACUUCCUGUGGCUGGGAGCAGCAGCUCCUGAAGGUUCCACUGGGGGGAACAAGACACUGCUUCCUGGAAGAUACGGAUUUUCCUAGCCCCACUCCCAUUACACACACA